AAUCUUGUUUAAUAUUCACAGCCAUCCGAUGGGGUAAAUAAUGUUAUUGUUUCCCAUUUUCCAGAUGAAGAAAUUGAGACCUAAGAAAAUUAAGAGCCAAGUUCAAGACCACAUAACUAAGAAUCUCAGUUCUGCUCAAGUGAGCGUGCUCUCUACCUGGCUAACUCCGGCCCUAGCAGAGAAGGCGAUCUUUGGCGCUGGCUGCUCUCCGACAUGGCCCACAUGAUGCAUUCAACAGAGGACGUGCUCCAAAGAUGUACCGUAUGUUCAUUACAGUCUUUUGUCUUCACAAAAAAACCAAUGAGAAUAUUAUCGUCCCCCCUUCACAGGUGAACAUGAGACUUUGAGAAGUCGUGUGCCUUGGGUCACUGGCCUGUGAUCUUAGGUCCAUGCAGCAACAACAAAG
rnacentral:lncRNA from 1 species